rnacentral:rRNA from 1 species
AUUGAACGCUGGCGGCAGGCCUAACACAUGCAAGUCGAGCGGUAGAGAGGAGCUUGCUUCUCUUGAGAGCGGCGGACGGGUGAGUAAUGCCUAGGAAUCUGCCUAGUGGUGGGGGAUAACGUUCGGAAACGGACGCUAAUACCGCAUACGUCCUACGGGAGAAAGCGGGGGACCUUCGGGCCUCGCGCCAUUAGAUGAGCCUAGGUCGGAUUAGCUAGUUGGUGAGGUAACGGCUCACCAAGGCGACGAUCCGUAACUGGUCUGAGAGGAUGAUCAGUCACACUGGAACUGAGACACGGUCCAGACUCCUACGGGUGGCUG